AAAUGCGAUAAGUAAUGUGAAUUGCAGAAUACAGUGAAUCAUCGAAUCUUUGAACGCACAUUGCGCCCGCCAGUAUUCUGGCGGGCAUGCCUGUUCGAGCGUCAUUUCAACCAUCAAGCCCCCGGGCUUGUGUUGGGGACCUGCGGCUGCCGCAGGCCCCGAAAACCAGUGGCGGGCUCGCUGUCACACCGGGCGUAGUAGAUUUUUCGUCUCGCCCAGGGCGUGCUGCGGGUUCCGGCCGUUAAAAAGCCUCUCUUUUAACCCAAGGUUGACCUCGGAUCAGGUAGGAAGACCCGCUGAACUUAAGC
rnacentral:misc_RNA from 1 species